GGAAAAGUAGUAGUUUGUGUGUCGGUGUGUGUGAUAGUGGUUCCAGAGGCCAUGUGGGUAUCUCGUCGUCAUUCUGGAUGCAGUGCAUCAUGGACCUGACCAGAUAAAUCCCAUUUUUGUGAUUGAUUGUCAAGAAUGCAACUUUUCAGAUGCAUCGAUUUGCGGUAAGGAAGUCGCCCUCGACCAUUCCACCGAAGUGAACAGGCCAAGAAAAGCCGCAAAGUUCAUUAAGUCCCCAAGUGGCUAACUACACAUCAUGGAUUUCCUGCGGUCCCCCGGAAUUCCUCGAUUCCCCGUCAUCAUCCUCAAAUUUUGUCGUCGUGCUUUUGGGUUAUCAGUCCGGGUUUUCCCGUGUUCCCCAGCUCAACAGAUCUCUCAAUGGACACUGGCCGCAGAAAAUUCUUAGAAUUCCGGAAAUGAAUGUGCGCAAUUUCGCAUUGGGCAAACAGACAGAAACAGCCGAGAACCAACUACAUUUUCGGGUCCCCAGUGCCGGGAAAUUCAUGGCCACGGUUGGAUGAAAAGUGAGUGUGUUCCUACCGAAAUCGAAAAGAACGCAACAGGCGCGUAUGCAAAUUCCCAAAGGAGCAAAAAAUAUUUGUAAACAAAGCGGCUUCGUUUGCGAGCCGAAAGCGAACUUGAGCGCAAAAGCGGAAAACCCGAGCUCCGAGUAAGCGGCAUGCUAAAGUGAAACUCAAAUUUGAGUGACUUUCUUGUGAAUGAA